UCCUCGAUAGCUCAACGGUAGAGCAAUCGGCUGUUAACCGAUUGGUUCCAAGUUCGAAUCUUGGUCGAGGAG
rnacentral:tRNA from 1 species